rnacentral:lncRNA from 1 species
AAGAUAAUAUCUGUCACUGAUUAGGAUGAACAUAUCAAGGAUAAACUCAACAGGGGAAAACAUCAUUUACAACUACCGGUUAAUGGGUAGUAGACCGCAAUGAGGUGAAAACCCGUCAUCGAUUAGGAUGAACAUAUCAAGGAUUAACUCUCUAGGGAAUGAAUUAGGGAUUACAACUACCUUUUUAAUAGGUAGAAAACCAAAAGAGAAG